GUGUAUUUGCAAGUGAUGCUAUGAAUGACUAUAAAAGGCAACGCUGAACUGCGUAUGUUAUCCCCGCCUCAAACACAAGAAGUAAAGAGAUAGCGAGCUUUGGUAUGCAUAUGUUUGCUAUACCACCACCAUUGUGCAAGUGCGGUACUACAUGCGAAAUGAAGUCGUCAGUCAUCUAUUAGGCUUUGUGAUUUCAUAAUUUGGAUCGAUUUCAACAUCAAAGCUGAGAACAAGGAAUGGAUGAACUUGUUGAAGAAAUGUGGACAUGGAAGACCUUGAGAUGAAGUGACAAGCGGAGGCGAUGAAUGAGGUUGAAGAAAAUGGGAGAGGACUUUGCGAGGUGGGAGGUGGAGAAAGAAAAGUCGUCUCGCUAGAAGGGGUGGUUCAACAAGUACAGACCAUUGAGUUUGUUUCUACCAAUGUAUUUCACGAAAGGUAUUUAUGUGUUGUAUGCUACGUGUGUUGUCAGUUCUGUAUGACUAGAAGCAAUGUAUCCUGAUGUACUACCUCCGCUUAAUAUAAUAUUUCAUUGUACCAUGUUGUUCGUAA